rnacentral:rRNA from 1 species
CGUGGCUAACCUGCCCUUGGGACAGAAACACUCCCGGGAAACUGGGGCUAAUUUCCGAUAGGUGAAGACUCCUGGAAUGGAUUUUCGCCUAAAGGGCGCUUAGGGCAUGCUUCUAAGCGUUGCCCAAGGAUGGGGCCGCGGCCGAUCAGGUUGUUGGUGAGGUAAUGGCCCACCAAGCCUUUAACCGGUACGGGCCGUGGGAGCGGUAGCCCGGAGAUGGGCACUGAGACAAGGGCCCAGGCCCUACGGGGCGCAGCAGUCGCGAAAACUUCGCAAUAAGCGAAAGCUUGACGGGGCCAUCCCGAGUGCCAUCUGCUGAGGAUGGCUUUUACCUAGUAUAGAUAGCUGGGGGAAUAAGGAGAGGGCAAGUCUGGUGUCAGCCGCCGCGGUAAUACCAGCUCUCCGAGUUGUAGGGAUGUUUAUUGGGCCUAAAGCAUCCGUAGCCGGCUGGACAAGUCCUCUGUUAAAUCCAGCGACCAAUCGUUGGUCUGCGGGGGAUACUGUCCGGCUUGGGGGCGGGAGAGGCCGUCGGUAUUCCUGGGGUAGGGGUGAAAUCCUAUAAUCCCAGGAGGACCACCAGUGGCGAAGGCUGUCGGCUAGAACGCGCCCGACGGUGAGGGAUGAAAGCUGGGGGAGCGAACCGGAUUAGAUACCCGGGUAGUCCCAGCUGU